rnacentral:misc_RNA from 1 species
AAGUCGUAACAAGGUUUCCGUAGGUGAACCUGCGGAAGGAUCAUUAACACGUAUCCAAACGUUAAAACCCCCCCCCGUGAACCUUUAUGAGUGCGCACCGUCGGGUAUCCCGAGUCGUAGUGUAUGGUAAAUCAUGGGUAGAGUUGGGGUUCUCUCAACAGGCUACAUUAUUGAUUCAAUGACUACGAUUAGCUGACGGAGUCGCGAGCUCGAAGCAGCAGCGGCCCAAGCAAUAACAUGUCUGAAAGUGUCAUUUAUUGUGUAAGCCGGCGCGUAAGCGUGCACUGGAGGCCAUCACGGCCAGUGACUGUUUCGGCCCUGCGUGGGCUCCUACCACAUUAAUUUUACCUCGGUGGUGCGAGGGCCAAGUGGCCUGCCGCACCGAACGCACAACUGUUAACAAUGGAUAUCUUGGUUCUC